GACGAACGCUGGCGGCGUGCUUAACACAUGCAAGUCGAACGGAAAGGCCCUGCUUUUGUGGGGUGCUCGAGUGGCGAACGGGUGAGUAACACGUGAGUAACCUGCCCUUGACUUUGGGAUAACUUCAGGAAACUGGGGCUAAUACCGGAUAGGAGCUCCUGCUGCAUGGUGGGGGUUGGAAAGUUUCGGCGGUUGGGGAUGGACUCGCGGCUUAUCAGCUUGUUGGUGGGGUAGUGGCUUACCAAGGCUUUGACGGGUAGCCGGCCUGAGAGGGUGAACGGCCACCUGGGGCCUACGAGAGGGACCAGUGUCCAACGGGGGACAACGGGGGGAAGCAUGACACAGUGGGAGGGCGUGGGAGAAGGAGGCCCUCGGGGGGGAAAGACGGUUUGUGGGUAAAAAACAGCUUCCGCUUGAGACGAAGCGGUUGUGACGGUAACGAAAAAAGAAGCACGGGCUAACUUCGUG
rnacentral:rRNA from 1 species